AGGAUGGUCUGUACCUAAUGUUUUACGUUCUUCUUGUAAGGCCUUCUUCCCUUCUGCCAUACGUUUAAAAAAAGUCAUCCAGUUGUGACCCAAAUAGUCUACACUGUUCAAACAAUAAAUCACACAUGGAAAUUUUAGAUGUAGAAUCCGCCAACCAGCUUUUCAGCCAUACCGUUCUUCUAGCUACAACAGAGACCCAUGGCUUUAGUGAACAGUUUCAGCAUCUCUGAUGAGGAAUCAGCCAGAAAAUCAGAAGCCAUUCCGAUAUUUCUCAAAAGUUUAAUCCGAUCUUCACUAGAUUCACCCAAAUAGACUUUUUCAAGGGUAUCUAGCCACAAUCUCUGGGCCUUUGCCAGUGAUGUUCCAGC